rnacentral:tRNA from 1 species
UCAAAUUGCAAAUUUGAAAGCGAUUCCUAUUUUUGGUUCCGGGGCUU